rnacentral:lncRNA from 1 species
CUGGCACCUCGCUCCUGGGCAGCAGAGAAGGACAAGGACCCUUGACCCAGAGCCCUCAGAGCCUCUCGAGCAGCAGGUUCCCAGCAGGGUCCAGCUGGAAGUGGGAGCUCAGCAAACACCAGUGGAGUGGGUCACAUGCCAGGGCCACCAAACCCUUCACAGGGGCCACUCCAGUCCACACCCCAGUGCCCCAGUAUAAAAUUCCCAGUCCCAGCAGCCAGGCUGGGUUGGGAAUGGGAGGAGAAGGAGGAAGAGGAGGAAGAGGAGGAGGAGGAGGAGGCAGCCAUGGAGAGCAGCAUGAAGCAGGUGGUGUUUGAAGAGGAGGACUCGGGGAACGGCUGCUGCUGCCCGGGCUGCUGCCUGCCCUGCGCCACGUGCUGCGCCAAAUGCUGCACCAGAUGCAGCGUGUGCUGCGCCAAAUGCUGCACCAGGUGCGGCAUGUGCUGCGCCAGGUGCUGCUGCCUGCCCAAGUGCUGCCGGUGCCCCAAGUGCCCCAAGUGCCCCAAGUGUCCCGGCUGCGGCAGCUGCUCCGGCUGCCUCAUGAAGUCGCUGUGCUUCGUCCCUCGGCUGCUCUGCUACCUGCCCCGCAAGCUCCUGAGCUGCUGCCACCUGCGCUGUCUGCUGAUCGUGGUGGUCGUGGUGGUGCUGCUGGUGCUCAUCAUCGCCGCCGCCCUGCUGAUGCGGCUCAGCGUCGAUCAGAGCCGCGGCGACACCGUGAGUGCGGAUCCCCCCAAAUGCCGUCAGCAGGGACCCCCCGAUGCCCGGGGGGAGGGGUCGUUGAAGCCUCUGAGAUCCCCCCCCCCCCCGCUCCUGAGCUGCUGCCACCUGCGCUGCCUGCUGAUCGUGGUGGUCGUGGUGGUGCUGCUGGUGCUCAUCAUCGCCGCCGCCCUGCUGAUGCGGCUCAGCGUCGAUCAGAGCCGCGGCGACACCCUGCUGGUGAGCUACAGAGCCCGGCUGCACCGCGCCUGCUACGUGACCCGCGUGGACAAGGACAACAUCCCGGGGCUGGACACCGUGCUCGGCACCUUCCAGCGCCGGCAGGCUGAGGACAGGAUCUCCGUGCCCCUGGCUGACCGCUCCCUCCUGGGCACCACGGCGAGCAUCCUCUGCAGCCUCCUCCCUGUUUAUUGGGCUUAAAACCCCCAGGGUGGGCAGGGGGACCCCCGCGGCAUCGGGGGACCCCCACCCACCCGGCAGCCCCUCCCAGCGCCAGCUUUGCCUUGCAGCAUCCCCGACAGCCCCCCCCCCCCCCCCCCCCCCCCCCCCCCCCCCCCCCCCCCCCCCCCCCCCCCCCCCCCCCCCCCCCCCCCCCCCCCCCCCCCCCCCCCCCCCCCCCCCCCCCCCCCCCCCCCCCCCCCCCCCCCCCCCCCCCCCCCCCCCCCCCCCCCCCCCCCCCCCCCCCCCCCCCCCCCCCCCCCCCCCCCCCCCCCCCCCCCCCCCCCCCCCCCCCCCCCCUUUUUUNNNNNNNNNNNNNNNNNNNNNNNNNNNNNNNNNNNNNNNNNNNNNNNNNNNNNNNNNNNNNUCGGGGGCGGGGCGGGGGUGUCAGCGCUGCGCCGGGGGACAUCUGGUUUGUCACUUAAGUCUUCUCAGCUUCGCCAAAACCCAAGUGCAAAAAUGAGCUUAAAAAAAACCCAUGACAUUUAAAGAAAACACAAUUCUCUGUUCCAGUUCUUCGCGCUUCGCCAAAACCCAAGUGCAAAAAUGAGCUUAAAAAAAACCCAUGACAUUUAAAGAAAACACAAUUCUCCGUUCCAGUUCUUCGCUCCCGCCUUCCCCCUGCCUUCAAAACGUCUUCAGGGGCUCCGAGCUUGGAUUUUGGGGGGAUUUCUGUCUCUGGGGGGGUCGCUGGAGGGGCUGCCUGACCUGAGCUGCCCCAUCCUGCUGCCAGAGCCAGGCCGGCCUGAAAAAUGGGUCUGUGCUCUGCCGGGAGGAAUGAAGGAAUAAAGGAAAAAAGGAAUAAAGGAGCAGGGCAGGAACCAGGUCUGGGAGCUAUUCCUGGACACAGCCUGAGCCACCAGACACUGCCCGAGGACAGGGAUCGUUAGCACCGGGGUGAUUUAGGUGCUGCUGGGAUCAGCACUCAUCAGGAUCAGGCCUGAUAAGAAUUGGGAAUUAUUAGGAUUUUUUGGGAUCAGGCAUUAUUAAGCUCAGGUGUUAUUAGGAAUGUUGGUGCUAUCAGGAUCAGGAAUUAUUAGGAUCGAGUUGUUGGUGUUCUCAGGAUUUUUUAGGACUGGGAUACUGGUGUUAUUGGGAUCAGACAUUAAUAGGACUGAGAUGCUGGCACUAUAAGGAUCAGGAUUUUAUUAAGAUCAGGCUUUAUUAGGAUGGGAUUCUGGCAUUAUUAGGACCAGGAGUUAUUGGGACCAGGAGCCUGGGGCUGACAGGAGGAACAGGGACCAGCCCUUCCAAACCCCCUGGGAAUGGGAGCCCAAAGCUGCCUCGAAGUGGGGACCACCAGCCCCCCACACCCCCACACCUGGAUCCAGCCCCCAUUCCCACUCCUGGCACCAGGGAAGCUGCUCCUGCCGGGACAGCACAGCUGGGAUUUGGGGCAUCCAUCCAGGGCCUCCUGCAGCUCUGGGGUGUCCCCUCCCAAACCCUCCCUGACCCCCCCAGACCCCCUCAGCCUCCCAGGCAAGGCUGGAGCAGAUGGAGGAGGUGACAGAAAGUUGGCAGGACCGCCAGGUCCUUGUGCAAUAAUUCCAGUAUCCCCAUUUCCGGAGGUUUGCAGCACAGCGGGGACCUCAGAGGUCCUGGCAGGGGAAAUCAGAGCAAAACCCCCCCAGGAGGGCUGGGAGUGGGGAAUCCCAUCCCUGGGAAGAGGAGGUGCCACCAUCCAGCCCCGCUGGGCUGUGUCACUCUGGCCACAGGGGACAAUCCCCUGCACAGGGGGGUCUCCAAAGGGGUCACUGGGAGAAAAGCUCCUGGGAACACCCCGAGUUUUGCUGUGGAGGAUUUGGGGAUGGAAGGCACGGAGAGAUGAGGAUGGAAUGCUC